GAUGAACGCUGGCGGCGUGCCUAAUACAUGCAAGUCGAGCGAACAGACGAGGAGCUUGCUCCUCUGACGUUAGCGGCGGACGGGUGAGUAACACGUGGAUAACCUACCUAUAAGACUGGGAUAACUUCGGGAAACCGGAGCUAAUACCGGAUAAUAUAUUGAACCGCAUGGUUCAAUAGUGAAAGACGGUUUUGCUGUCACUUAUAGAUGGAUCCGCGCCGCAUUAGCUAGUUGGUAAGGUAACGGCUUACCAAGGCAACGAUGCGUAGCCGACCUGAGAGGGUGAUCGGCCACACGGGAACUGAGACACGGUCCAGACUCCUACGGGAGGCAGCAGUAGGGAAUCUUCCGCAAUGGGCGAAAGCCUGACGGAGCAACGCCGCGUGAGUGAUGAAGAUCUUCGGAUCGUAAAACUCUGUUAUUAGGGAAGAACAAAUGUGUAAGUAACUAUGCACGUCUUGACGGUACCUAAUCAGAAAGCCACGGCUAACUACGUG
rnacentral:rRNA from 1 species